ensembl:lncRNA
AGGACGUGUAGGAAGGAGUGUCAAGGACCACCUCGUCCCAUCCUUGCACUGUGGGAGGACCAAGUGCCAAAGGUAUGAUAGAUAUGAUAUAUUUUCCCCACGCCUUUUGCCAGUUGGAACACGCUUACUUAAAUCUUUCCUCUCCUCCUGCAUUAAAGAUGCCCUUGUCCCUAAAGGAACCAUCUAACCAGAUCAAUCUAACCUGAAUUAGACUUUCUUAUGCUUUCUGAGGUUUUCAUUGAUGCCUCCCUCCCCGCUGUGUAAAUGUCUCCUCCCGCCAUGCUGACAGAAGACACAAACCGUAUCCCAGGUCAUGACGGAGCAGGCUCACACUUGCCUAGAGUUUCUGAGUCUUUGACCUGCUGAAAAUGAGAAGGACGACUGGGGGCCUGGGAAGUCGAGGGAAGCGUCAGAGCAGAGCAGAGCCCACACAGUGCCGGAGGCUGUAGGAGGGUCACAGGAACUUCAGAAAGGCUUGUUCCCAAGGUACAGCUUCUCUCUGUCAUGGGGCCUAACCUGCAGUCUCACAGAGUGUCAGGAAAAACGUUGUAGCCCCAGAAAGCUUCCAGAGGAACCAGUUGGACAGUCAGAUUGACUGUUCAGCAACAUCACUGUUUCAACAGGGAACGUAAGAAAAGAUGAUGGGGUUGUGAGUAAAGAGGGCAGUUCAGAACACGGUUCGUUUCUCCACUGCGUGGAUACUCAUCUGUGGGCUGCAGGACUGCCACGAGGAGCAGUUUGCUGGGGAAGCACGCCCUCCACCAGCAGAGACCGUAGUGAAACUGUUAUUUGCAGGCCUGAAGUGGUUUGUGUGUAUGCACGGCCUGGGCUGGGCAGGACACACACACUGCGGGGUGGUCUGGUCUGGGUAUAAACAAAGAGAAGGGUUUGGAGGGAGCGCGCCUCGCAGCUGGCUGAGUAAACAAAAGAGCAGUGAUGUCCAUAUGGGGAAGAGCCGCAGCCGGGGGGGGUUAAGGCUGAGCCAAGGUUGUGAAAAACCAAAUAAAGGAAAAGGCAGCACGCUGGGCAGCGUUGGGAAGCUCUGCGCCAUGCCCUGCCACGGCUCUGUGCCUCGUAGGCCAUGCUGGUAAGGCGGAGGUCUGAGUGGGGUCUCCAUAGCAGUCAGCCUUCACGUUUCCACUCUGAGAGAAGCGCAAACGCGGCUCCGUUUUAUUAGCAGGAAUUUGGGGGAGCGUUCAUCUCCGUGUUCUCUCAGUGCUGCUCUGCACUGCGUGGGGUUUUCUCUCGCAGGGAUGGAAUACAAGGACGGUGCGGUGGGAGAUGUGGCACUAGUGAGGGCUGGACGUGGUCAUAGCGGAGCUCUUUUCCAACAUUAACGACCCUACGACUAGAGCCGCCUUUCCCGCCGUGCCG